rnacentral:rRNA from 1 species
UNGUAGGUGGUUUGUUGCGUCGUCUGUGAAAUUCCGGGGCUUAACUUCGGGGUGNCAGGCGAUACGGGCAUAACUAGAGUGCUGUAGGGGAGACUGGAAUUCCUGGUGUAGCGGUGGAAUGCGCAGAUAUCAGGAGGAACACCGAUGGCGAAGGCAGGUCUCUGGGCAGUAACUGACGCUGAGGAGCGAAAGCAUGGGGAGCGAACAGGAUUAGAUACCCUGGUAGUCCAUGCUGUAAACGGUGGGCGUUAGGUGUGGGGACCGGUUUGGUUUCUGUGCCGUAGCUAACGCAUUAAGCGCCCCGCCUGGGGAGUACGGCCGCAAGGCUAAAACUCAAAGGAAUUGACGGGGGCCCGCACAAGCGGCGGAGCAUGUGGAUUAAUUCGAUGCAACGCGAAGAACCUUACCUGGGUUUGACAUGCACCAGACGGUUGUAGAGAUACGUACCUCCCUUUGUGGUUGGUGUGCAGGUGGUGCAUGGUUGUCGUCAGCUCGUGUCGUGAGAUGUUGGGUUAAGUCCCGCAACGAGCGCAACCCUUGUCUUAUGUUGCCAGCACGUUUGGGUGGGGACUCAUGAGAGACUGCCGGGGUUAACUCGGAGGAAGGUGGGGAUGACGUCAAAUCAUCAUGCCCUUUAUGCCCAGGGCUUCACACAUGCUACAAUGGUUAGUACAACGCGCUGCGAGCCUGUGAGGGUGAGCGAAUCGCUGAAAGCUAAUCUCAGUUCGGAUUGGGGUCUGCAACUCGACCCCAUGAAGUCGGAGUCGCUAGUAAUCGCAGAUCAGCAAUGCUGCGGUGAAUACGUUCCCGGGCCUUGUACACACCGCCCGUCACGUCAUGAAAGUUGGUAACACCCGAAGCCCAUG